rnacentral:rRNA from 1 species
UACGUAGGGUGCGAGCGUUAAUCGGAAUUACUGGGCGUAAAGCGUGCGCAGGCGGUGAGUUGUGUCUGAUGUGAAAGCCCCGGGCUUAACCUGGGAAUGGCAUUGGAAACUGGCUCGCUGGAGUGUGGCAGAGGGGGGUGGAAUUCCGCGUGUAGCAGUGAAAUGCGUAGAGAUGCGGAGGAACACCGAUGGCGAAGGCAGCCCCCUGGGCCGACACUGACGCUCAGGCACGAAAGCGUGGGGAGCAAACAGG